CACUGUCGCCAUGCCACCCUGAACAAGCCUGAUCCAGUCUGAUCUCGGAAGCUAAGCAGGGUCAGGCCUGGUUAGUACUUGGAUGGGAGACCACCUAGGAAGACCAGGUGCUGUAGGCA
rnacentral:rRNA from 1 species